rnacentral:rRNA from 1 species
AGAACGAACGCUGGCGGCAGGCUUAACACAUGCAAGUCGAACGCUCGUAGCAAUACGGGAGUGGCAGACGGGUGAGUAACGCGUGGGAACAUACCCUCCGGUUCGGAAUAGCUCAGGGAAACUUGGAUUAAUACCGGAUACGGCCGAGAGGCGAAAGAUUUAUCGCCGGAGGAUUGGCCCGCGUUCGAUUAGCUAGUUGGUGAGGUAACGGCUCACCAAGGCGAUGAUCGAUAGCUGGUCUGAGAGGAUGAUCAGCCACAUUGGGACUGAGACACGGCCCAAACUCCUACGGGAGGCAGCAGUGGGGAAUAUUGGACAAUGGGCGCAAGCCUGAUCCAGCCAUGCCGCGUGAGUGAUGACGGCCUUAGGGUUGUAAAGCUCUUUCGCUCGGGACGAUAAUGACGGUACCGAGAUAAGAAGCCCGGCUAACUCGUGCCAGCAGCCGC